CCUACGGGAGGCAGCAGUGGGGAAUAUUGCACAAUGGGGGAAACCCUGAUGCAGCGACGCCGCGUGAGUGAAGAAGCGUUUCGGCGCGUAAAGCUCUGUCAGCGGGGAAGAAACACGGUUCGCGAGAGCCGCGGACGGUACCCGACCAAGAAGCCCCGGCUAACUACGUGCCAGCAGCCGCGGUAAUACGUAGGGGGCAAGCGUUAUCCGGAUUCACUGGGUGUAAAGGGAGCGUAGACGGCGAGACAAGUCUGGAGUGAAAGGCCGGGGCCCAACCCCGGGACUGCUCUGGAUACUGGCUGGCUGGAGUACAGGAGAGGUAGGUGGAAUUCCUAGUGUAGCGGUGAAAUGCGUAGAUAUUAGGAGGAAAACCAGUGGCGAAGGCGGCUUACUGGACUGUAACUGACGCUCAUGCACGAAAGUGUGGGUAUCGAACAGGAGUAGGUACCCUUGUAGUC
rnacentral:rRNA from 1 species